rnacentral:sRNA from 1 species
UCUUACAUGUUUCUUUGACCGUGUCUG